rfam:Opisthorchis viverrini opera_v5_51.89, whole genome shotgun sequence.
ACCACGGCCCUCUUUAGGGCCACACAUUGUGAUCAAAACACCUGU